GCUUUACAGCAGCUAAUAGGAUUUGGUUGUGAAGGCUGGAUUAAGGAAUUCCGUGCUUGAAAACCAACAAAAACUCUCUGCAAGCUAACUAAACUAUGAAAAGGAUUUAACUGCCCUAGUCAAUUUAUUUGAAAAGGAUUAUUCCAGACACAGUAAGAUUAGGACAUUUUGGUGAGAUGGUGCAUGUGAGGUGUCAAACUGGAAAGAAUGAAGCAGAGAAGAGGACCUGUGGAAAAAACAGCUGACCCAGAAGUGAAACGGUCAAGACUACCCGUGAUGCCUCUCCAAUGUGAUCUCUUAUUCUUUGCACAGGACACAUGUCAUUAAUUGAAUCAUGCUUUCCCUGGCUGAGUCUUCACAUAUCAUCAUAUUCAAUAUCACAAAGUCAGGGCAUGUAAUUAUUCUCAAUCAGAAUUAAUGAACAAAUUAAAACUUAUGUCAUUUUACGAAUGCCAAA